AACAAAAAGAAAAGAAAAUUUGUGUUGAGUCGGCGAGAGAGAAUUGGGGUAAGGACACAUAAGUUUUAGGGUUAUGUUUUUAUACAGAGGAUUCAAUCAGAGGGCAAAAGAAUUGAGUUCAAUCUUUUCACAUUCAAAUUCAUGUGUGCUUGACUAUAUAUGUAUAUACGUGUAUCUAUAUAGGGUGAUUGUCGUGUUGUUUGUGGGCUUGUGCUGGCUGCUGAUGGUGGAGGUGUUGGUAGCAGUCGCCGGAGGUUCGAUUAUGGCGGAGACUGGGGUUGAGACGACGUUGUGAUAGAAGAGCGAGAUGAAGUAACACGGGGCGGGGGAGUUGUGGUUGGCAGCAAGUGGUGGUGUAUUGGCGAUGGGUGUGAUUCCGGCGAGCACUUCACCCCUUGCAUCUCUUAUUCCGAAUUAGUGGAAUUGAACGAGACGUUGACGAGGCAUUGAUCGAGACGUGAUUGAAAUGGGUAUUCAGAAAUAGCCAAGUGGUGCAAGUUGAAUUAAGGCGAAACUUAGUUUUAAAUCAAAUCUUAUCAGAAGUUGGCAGAAGGGAAUGAUAUGGUGGUAUAUAGUGUCAUUAGAAGUCUGAGCUAGACACCGGAGUUAAGCUAAGGAUUAAGAUGGUAACCUGGGCAAGAUGCGCGUAAGAGUAAUGCUAGGCGAGACUGCCAGGGAGGUGGCUGCGAGACUAGUUAUGGUUUUUAAAAGAUUUUUAUGAUGGUGGCACCAAAUCCAGACCCCCGGAUUUGAGGGAUGUCACAAGAAGCGUGGGUUGCCGCACGCACAUAUCGUCCUAUGGCUGGCACUAGAGGAUAAAUUAAUGACUCCAAACGACAUAGAUGGCCUUAUAUGUGCAGAGAUACCUGAUCAACAGGCUGACCCAAUUGGCUACGAAUCUGUCUCUCAGUUAAUGAUGCAUGGACCUUGCGGUGCAGCAAAUCCAAAAUGCCAGAUUCACCUAGACAACAAGUCAGCUUUAUAGCUAUUGUUUUUUAACUUCUACAUCAACAUUUCUAGCCAUUACCCAACAACAAACUCAAAAAUACACUAAGAAGAAUUUAAACUGAUAGUUUCCUUAAAAUAAAAUUUUGUUUAAAUAUUCACAUAACUAAGGCCUGAUUUAUCAUUUUAAUUA